rnacentral:rRNA from 1 species
GACGAACGCUGGCGGCGUGCUUAACACAUGCAAGUCGAGCGGUAAGGCCCGGUUUUGCUGGGUACACGAGCGGCGAACGGGUGAGUAACACGUGGGUGACCUGCCUUCAGCUCUGGGAUAAGCUUGGGAAACUGGGUCUAAUACCGGAUGUUCACUGUGCGUUGCAUGGUGUGUGGUGGAAAGUCUGUGUUUGUGCAUGGGCGGCUGGGGAUGGGCCCGCGGCCUAUCAGCUUGUUGGUGGGGUGAUGGCCUACCAAGGCGUUACCAAGGCGACGACGGGUAGCCGGCCUGAGAGGGCGACCGGCCACACUGGGACUGAGACACGGCCCAGACUCCUACGGGAGGCAGCAGUGGGGGAAUAUUGCGCAAUGGGCGGAAGCCCGACGCAGCGACGCCGCGUGGGGGAUGACGGCCU